ACGCCUCCUCCUCCUCCGCCCUCCUCCCGGGGGGGACCCCCGCGCCGCACGGGGUUUCUUCUCGCGAGCGUCGUGCCGGGAGGGGAUCCGUUAAUGAUCCUUCCGCAGGUUCACCUACGGAAACCUUGUUACGACUUUUACUUCCUCUAGAUAGUCAAGUUCGACCGUCUUCUCAGCGCUCCGCCAGGGCCGUGGGCCGACACCGGCGGGGCUGAUCCGAGGGCCUCACUAAACCAUCCAAUCGGUAGUAGCGACGGAAUCGAGAAAGAGCUAUCAAUCUGUCAAUCCUGUCCGUGUCCGGGCCGGGUGAGGUUUCCCGUAAGCUGCCCGGCGGGUCAUGGGAAUAACGCCGCCGCAUCGCCAGUCGGCAUCGUUUAUGGUCGGAACUACGAUGGUAUCUGAUCGUCUUCGAACCUCCGACUUUCAUUCUUGAUUAAUGAAAACAUUCUUGGCAAAUGCUUUCGCUCUGGUCCGUCUUGCGCCGGUCCAAGAAUUUCACCUCUAGUGGCGCAAUACGAAUGCCCCCGGCCGUCCCUCUUAAUCAUGGCCUCAGUUCCGAAAACCAACAAAAUAGAACCGCGGUCCUAUUCCAUUAUUCCUAGCUGCGGUAUCCAGGUGGCUCGGGCCUGCUUUGAACACUCUAAUUUUUUCAAAGUAAACACUUCGGGCCCCGCGGGACACUCAGCUAAGAGCAUCGAGGGGGCGCCGAGAGGCAAGGGGCAGGGAUGGGAGGUGGCUCGCCUCGCGGCGGACCGCCCGCCCGCUCCCAAGAUCCAACUACGAGCUUUUUAACUGCAGCAACUUUAAUAUACGCUAUUGGAGCUGGAAUUACCGCGGCUGCUGGCACCAGACUUGCCCUCCGAUGGAUCCUCGUUAAAGGAUUUAAAGUGGACUCAUUCCAAUUACAGGGCCUCAAAAGAGUCCUGUAUUGUUAUUUUUCGUCACUAUCUCCCCAGGUCGGGAGUGGGUAAUUUGCGCGCCUGCUGCCUUCCUUGGAUGUGGUAGCCGUUUCUCAGGCUCCCUCUCCGGAAUCGAACCCUGAUUCCCCGUCACCCGUGGUCACCAUGGUAGGCACGGCGACUACCAUCAAAAGUUGAUAGGGCAGAUGUUUGAAUGGGUCGUCGCCGCCACGGGGGCCGUGCGAUCGGCCCGAGGUUAUCUAGAGUCAACAAAGCCGCCGGCUCCCACCCCGCGGUCGGAGCCGAGGGGAGGCUGACCGGGUUGGUUUUGAUCUGAUAAAUGCACGCAUCCCCCCCGCGAAGGGGGUCAGCGCCCAUCGGCAUGUAUUAGCUCUAGAAUUACCACAGUUAUCCAAGUAGGAGAGGAGCGAGCGACCAAAGGAACCAUAACUGAUUUAAUGAGCCAUUCGCAGUUUCACUGUACCGGCCGUGCGUACUCAGACAUGCAUGGCUUAAUCUUUGAGACAGCAUAUGUUACAGGCAGGAUCAACCAGGUAGGAGGAGAGGCACGACCGAGCGACUGCGCGUGGCGGCAAGCCGCUGCCGCCGGGGGAACCCCAGGGGGAGAGAAGACGGGAGGAACCCAACCCCGGCCCGCGCGCCACCCCCUCCUGGG